GAUGAACGCUGGCGGCGUGCCUAAUACAUGCAAGUCGAGCGAACGGACGAGAAGCUUGCUUCUCUGAUGUUAGCGGCGGACGGGUGAGUAACACGUGGAUAACCUACCUAUAAGACUGGGAUAACUUCGGGAAACCGGAGCUAAUACCGGAUAAUAUUUUGAACCGCAUGGUUCAAAAGUGAAAGACGGUCUUGCUGUCACUUAUAGAUGGAUCCGCGCUGCAUUAGCUAGUUGGUAAGGUAACGGCUUACCAAGGCAACGAUGCAUAGCCGACCUGAGAGGGUGAUUGGCCACACUGGAACUGAGACACGGUCCCGACUCCUACGGGAGGCAGCAGUAGGGAAUCUUCCGCAAUGGGCGAAAGCCUGACGGAGCAACGCCGCGUGAGUGAUGAAGGUCUUCGGAUCGUAAAACUCUGUUAUUAGGGAAGAACAUAUGUGUAAGUAACUGUGCACAUCUUGACGGUACCUAAUCAGAAAGCCACGGCUAACUACGUG
rnacentral:rRNA from 1 species